rnacentral:rRNA from 1 species
CGGAGGAAAAGAAACUAACUAGGAUUCCCUCAGUAGCGGCGAGCGAAGCGGGAAAAGCCCAAAAUGAAAAGCCUGAUACCAGGCGUUGUAUUUUGAGCGUCCUUUGGAGUGUCAGUGUGGGUAAGUCGCAUGGAAAUGCGUGCCGUGGAGGGUGAGAGUCCCGUCCGUCCCACACAGGACACGCCGUACGAGGGCGUUUCAGGCGAGUCGGGUAGCUUGGGAAUGCUGCUCUAAUUGGUGGUAAAUCUCAUCAAAGGCUAAAUAACGGCUGGAGACCGAUAGCGAACAAGUACCGUGAGGGAAAGAUGCAAAGCACUUUGAAAAGAGGGUGAAAAGAACCUGAAACCGUCAUGGGGGAAGCGGAUUGCGUUGGAAUGAAUUGGGCGCUGUGUGUGUUCAGCCCGGUGAUUCGGGUGCAUUGGCACGAGUGCUUAUCCGCCGUGGGCUUGCGGGGGUUGAAAUUGAAUCCCUGGAGGCUGAGGGCUCCCCUCGUGUAGGGUUGAGGACGGCGGAGUGACGACGCGAUACGACCCGUCUUGAAACACGGACCAAGGAGUCUAGCGCGGAUGCGAGUCAAAGGGUGUAAAAGCCUGUGGGCGCAGUGAAAGCGAGUUUUGCAAAACGAGCAGUUUGGGGCGGCAUAAGAUCGUUGUAUCUUAAGACCGACCUAGAGCAUUUGCGCUGGGACCCGAAAGAUGGUGAACUAUGCCGGAGUAGGGCAAAGCCAGAGGAAACUCUGGUGGAGGCUCGUAGCGGUGCUGACGUGCAAAUCGCUCGUCAAACUUGGGUAUAGGGGCGAAAGACUAAUCGAACCAUCUAGUAGCUGGUUCCCUCCGAAGUUUCUCUCAGGAUAGCGGGCCGACAGUAAGUUGUUCUGUGUGGUAAAGCGAAUGAUUAGCGUAUUUGGGGACAUCUAGUCUUCGGGCGAUUCUCAAACUUUAAAUGCGCAGGGGUGUCGCUGCUUAGUUGAGCGGCACCGGCAAAAACGUCGGCCCUGUGGGCCACUUUUGGUAAGCAGAACUGGCGAUACGGGAUGAACCGUAAGCACGGUUAAGGCGCCUCACUGCCCGCUUAUAGACCCCACAAAAGGCGUUGAUUCAUCGAGACAGCAGGACGGUGGCCAUGGAAGUCGGAAUCCGCUAAGGAGUGUGUAACAACUCACCUGCCGAAUGAAUUAGCCCUGAAAAUGGAUGGCGCUGAAGCGGGCGGCCGACACCGUGCCGUCUGGGCAAAAAAACGAAAGGUUCCAGAUGAGUAGGAGGGCGUGGGGGCCGUAUCGAAGCAUGCGUGCGAACGCGUGUGGAACGGCCUCUAGUGCAGAUCUUGGUGGUAGUAGCAAGUAUUCAAGCGAGAUCCUUGAAGGGCGAAGCGGGGAAGGGUUCCACGCGAACAUUGAUUGGGCGUGGGUGAGUCGUUCCUAAGCCGAGUGGCGAUUGCUAAGUAGCGGCGAAAGGGAAGCGGGUUGAAAUUCCCGCACACGGAUGUGGACGCGGUGACGCGAUUGAUGGGGCGAAGACGCUGGCGACGGCGCUGGGCAGAGUUGUCUUUUCUGUUUGACCAGGUUUGCGCGCGCGGUGUGGAAUCCGCUUGUCGGGAGAAACACGCGUGUGCGGGCAGAGCGCCGGGGCUUUUCCGGCGUCCAGCUCGCCGUCGACGGUCCUUGAAAAUUUGCCUGCUGAGUGAAUCCUUUUUUUUUUUUAAGGGAAUCUGGAAUCCACGCCGUGGCGUACCGAUCACCGCAUCAGGUCCCCAAGGUGAACAGCCUCUGCUCAGUAUGAAUAAUGCAGGUAAGGGAAGUCGGCAAAUUAGACCCGUAACUUUGGGAAAAGGGUUGGCUCUAGUGCCGCGUGGGAGUGGUUGCCGGGUGAAGUGUGCGAGAGUACAUGUUAGGCGCUCACGGCUGUGGCGGCUCUUAUGGCGCGGGACCCCGAGAGGGGACCUGUUCCGGGCCUGCUGAGUGUGAGGGUGCCUCGCCUGGCGACGCCCACGGCAUGCGGCAGACUAGAACUGCAACGGGCAAAGGGAAUCCGACUGUUUAAUUAAAACAAAG